rnacentral:lncRNA from 1 species
AUGGAGAGACAGAUUAACCAGCAGUAUAGGCUGCAUCAAGGGCAGCCUGCCUCCUUUACCUCAUGCAGAGCUUCUUGGAAGCAUGGGAAAUCAGGGAAGAAAGAGGGGGAAAGAGCAUCUUUAAAUGGUAAUGGACACAGAGUGGUGAAAACAGAGGAUGAGAUUUGUGAGGAUGAGCUCUAGUGCUAACACCACCAAGAGGCUUUCUUAGAAUGUGAAGCUAAGUCACAAUACUGUUUAUUGGAGAAUUAAUCAGGAGGAAAAUUGCUUGUGAUUCAAUCAGAUUUAUUUAAAUGCUAGAAAAUUCCCUGUUAUUAUCCAUUUAACAGAUAACAAUUCAUAAUAUUUGAUAUGAGCUUUUCCAUACAGCUUUAUUCUUUAGAAAAGUGUUCUUUUAAUCUAGCAGUUAGCCUAGACAACCUAAGCUUAAGCAGAGGACUGAAAUAUGACUGUGACUGUUCAGCCAGUAAUCUUACUUUUGUCACAUAGUUAUCAGCUGUGCUCUGUUUCUGUUGCAUAACUCACUCUUUGGACAGCACCUUGAUACCUCAAUUUUGUCCUACCAGAUUAGUACUGAGCAAUUCUAGAUUUGCACUUGUAUAUAUCAUGUGAGAUGUGCACUUGAUAAAGACUUGAUAAAGUUUGGGAUUGAGCAGAUGUUCCCCCUGAAAAAUCCUGGGCUCUUGUUUCUCUGAACAGUAGAGGAAGGUCAAAGAAUAAGCAUUUCAACCUGUGCGAUCAUCAGAUUUUGUAAGAUGAUCUGACAGACGCUGUCAUGUUCAGGACUCCCAUCUCUGCUAGCUGGAACUUGUUCUGAGCCAUUCAGCGUGUGCUGCUGGAAGUGGGAAUCAAAUCCCAAGGUAUGCUUCUUAAAGGAAGAAGAGGAGAUAGAAAUCUCUUACAAGAACAUGGAUGUUCUUGUGCAAAAGUAGAAGCAUUUUGUAACAGUUUCUUGUGGCUAUAAUUUACUGAUUUGUACUUCUGGAAUCCUUAAAAUGAUCUUAUUCUGGAUAAAUCCUGUGCUCUCUGGACUCUAUCUCAUGUUUAAAAGAACAAAAUAAGCAUCUCUGCUGCUACUAUACUGAAUAAUGCAGUAAUAAAUAAAGAUAGCAAUAGAGCCUCA